GCCUACGGGGGGCAGCAGUGGGGGAUAUUGCACAAUGGGGGAAACCCUGAUGCAGCGACGCCGCGUGAGUGAAGAAGCAUUUCGGUAUGUAAAGCUCUAUCAGCAGGGACGAAAAUGACGGUACCUGAGUAAGAAGCCCCGGCUAACUACGUGCCAGCAGCCGCGGUAAUACGUAGGGGGCAAGCGUUAUCCGGAUUUACUGGGUGUAAAGGGAGCGUAGACGGUAGAGCAAGUCUGAAGUGAAAGCCCGCGGCUCAACUGCGGGACUGCUUUGGAAACUGCCCAACUGGAUUGCUGGAGAGGAA
rnacentral:rRNA from 1 species